AACUUUGCGCUCGCAAUUGGUUCACAACCGAGUUUUGAUUAAAAGGGAAUAAGGUGAGAGUCCUUAACAGUCCCGCUGCUGUAAUCGGUAUUGUUGAAGAAGCGUAUGCCACUGACAUUGAGGGUCGGGAAGGUGUUUCUUCGAAAGCCGAAAAGUCAGAAGACCUGCCAUUGCCUGUGAAGUACU
rnacentral:ncRNA from 2 species